rnacentral:rRNA from 1 species
UACACAUGCAAGUCGAGCGAGACCUUCGGGUCUAGCGGCGGACGGGUGAGUAACGCGUGGGAACGUGCCCUUCUCUACGGAAUAGCCCCGGGAAACUGGGAGUAAUACCGUAUACGCCCUUUGGGGGAAAGAUUUAUCGGAGAAGGAUCGGCCCGCGUUGGAUUAGGUAGUUGGUGGGGUAAUGGCCCACCAAGCCGACGAUCCAUAGCUGGUUUGAGAGGAUGAUCAGCCACACUGGGACUGAGACACGGCCCAGACUCCUACGGGAGGCAGCAGUGGGGAAUCUUAGACAAUGGGGGCAACCCUGAUCUAGCCAUGCCGCGUGAGUGAUGAAGGCCUUAGGGUUGUAAAGCUCUUUCAGCUGGGAAGAUAAUGACGGUACCAGCAGAAGAAGCCCCGGCUAACUCCGUGCCAGCAGCCGCGGUAAUACGGAGGGGGCUAGCGUUGUUCGGAAUUACUGGGCGUAAAGCGCACGUAGGCGGACUGGAAAGUCAGAGGUGAAAUCC